GCACCCGAAAAGGAUUGUGGGUUCGUAGUCUCAUCCUAGUUUCAUGCCUCUCGGAACCUGCAGGUCGGAGGAACGUUGGACUACAGUUCCCAAGACCGCCUGCAGAGUGCGGUCUUGAUAGUAAACAAGAGUCAUAGGGACACGUGUAUCAGCUCGUUUGUUUUGCUGUCUGGGACAAAAGGGAGGGGGCGGAGGAAGGGAGUGUUUCAAAGCUUUGGCCUCUUCCCUUCCUUUGGGCCUUUCCUAGCACUCAAAGCAGCUUCACGUCUCUCGCAGCACCCAUUCCGGGCCAUAAACAGCCAGAGUCGCUCGCGGCUCAAAGUUUGGCAGGAGGCCAAGGCAUCUUUUUGUCUGGUCCAUCCAACAGGCAUCAUUCUGUCUGAGCAAUCAGUAAGUAUCUUCUGAACAGAUAAACUGAAGGAGAAAAUAAGCAGUAUGAAUUUUCUUAUUAACAUAAUAGCACAUUAUACAUUAUGCUGUAUUCAUAUGCUCUUUAGAACACUGAACUCAUUAAAUAGCUUCUGUGUGCUUUAAGUGUCACUUGAUCAAUAGGGUCAUCACUGUUUUUUUGAGAACAGGUCUCACCUUAUCUGUAUAAAAUAAGCACUACCUUGUCAUUCAUUUUGAUUGCCAGUCAAAGGCAGAUGAUAUUUGUCUAACAUAUUGCAGCUCCUUCAGGGUACUCAGCAUGUCACAAUACUCUCCAUAGUAAUAAAAAUGAGGAUAUUGAAGUUCAGGAUUAAGGCGGUGCAGUUACAAGGAAAAGAUUUGCCAAAGAUGUCUUUAGAGUGAGCACUUUGCCUAAGAUAAUUAAAAUAUUAUUUGGCUUUAAAAAUGUCAUUCGUGUACAUUUUAAGAGUCCAGUCACAUCGUAAAAGGAGGUAUUGAAUGUCAAUCUUCAGCCUAAAACAGGCAGUGCGAUUCCAGAGGUACGAGACUCUUGUUCCUCAGCAGGACAGUGGGAGGUUUCAGGGCAGGGAUGGAAAACCAGCAAUUAGAAGCCAACUUUAUCCAAGAUUUUGCCUGGUCAUGUGUACGCCUCAUAAAUUCAUUCGAGUGUUCUACUUGCAGUGGAAAUUUGCUGAAAUGAAAACAUUGAGGGUUUCACUUCCGGGUUGUGGCAGUGAAGAGUCAAGGCGGAUUCUGUCACUUGAGAGUCCAUUUCUAGCUCACACUUAACCACCCCCUUGCACCUGGGAAAAAAAGCCACUUUGUUUUUCCAAUCGUUGCUGAACACAAGUGCUUGACUCACCAUUGAGGCCCAACAACCCAAAACAUCAGAGUCUGGAGCAGAGAAAGGUCUAUGUGAGGGCCAAGAAAGGAGACUGGGCAGCUCAUAAUCAAAAACCCCAAACUCCCCAACAGAAUGGGGAAGACUUUUUAAAGGCAAAAUUGGGGGUGCCGGCUCAGGGUGUGUGGCUUUCUUCUGAUUGGUGUGCGGUAAGAGGGUGGUGUCCAGGAAUCUUGUGCUCAGCCUCAAGUUGCCAUCCUCCACCCGCGGGGGAGAGGGGGGGAAACACCUCAGUUCCUCCAGAAGAGCUUAAAGACGAGCAUCAGUUAUGUAUAUCCCUUCAGGAGGCACCAGGACACUGUCCCAUGGCUGUGCUGCUCUUUCUGGAUGGCUUUUCCUUUGUUUCCAUAUUCCCUCACUUCGCGAAUUACUAACUGCUUGAAUCUGCCCUUUGGAACGCAGGCAAGGUCUACAAGGCUGAAGCCUUUUUCUCCAAACAAGAAGCUGGGGACAUGAAAGGCGUUUGCACCCAGGAGCCUCCCACAGGGUCCAGCUUGUUUUCACAAUUGUGAGUAAACAAUGCAUUUAGCUACUACAAUGGCUCAGUUGUAAUUGGUGUUACCAAAACAUUUCAUGUAUUUACAUUUUGCAGUGGCUUAUUUAUUUAUUUGGGAAAAUAGCAGACCCAGGCUGCGGUUAAAAUCUAUUGAGGUGAGAAAAAACACCUACCUAAACAAGUAGCAUUUCAUUUUUAUGGUGGAGACAAUUGCUUCCGUAGCAUCUGUCAUCCCAUCUUCUCAUAUAUAAACGUUAACAUGCUUCUUCAGGACUUCCUAGACAACAUAAGAGUUACAAACUUGGAGCAUAAAAAGGGACAGGAAGACCUAGAUCUAUUGGUCAAAUAAAGUUUUCUUCUCAAAUCAGUCUUACUAUCCACAUUAGGAACUUGACACACGUUUUCAUAUACUAGGCUCAAUUACAUCGUUAUUAAUAGAAUAUGAGUGUAGACAAGAAAAAACAUUGCCUGACAUUUCAGUAAACAAAGAAUGUUGCUGGUCAUCAAGCCCUCAGCCACUGCAGCCACCCUUGACUGUGCAGCCUGAGGGGAAUUCAGGAUGGAGAAAAAUAGGAUACCAGCCUGGAUAGUUAAGAUGCUUAUCAAAGGAAUACUUUCAGUGAGCCCAGACUCUUGCAUCGCUCCAUACAUAGAAAAGCACUAAAAUCAUUAACUUGAGAUGCCUGGUUUUUGUGAGUAGCAGGAACCUUGUGAUGUUCAACUGCUGCUGCCCUCUCCCCCGCCAGCAAAAACCACUGUGUAGCCUGGCUCUUCCCUGACCUCUUUGGAAAAGUUCUUCAGAGCUGAGGGGCUGCUUCCCAGGCCACAGUCCUCAAUCAGAUCCCUGAAUAAAAUAUAACUGGCAUCUUUUAGGCUGUGUGGGGCUUUUUAUUCAGUUGACUUUGAGAGACCUGCAAUCGGCAGGCUGCACCAAGAAUCUCAAUUUCCCGUGAGUUCCACCGCAGAUUCACAAUCAAAGAUUUUGGUGGAGUCCUGAUUUUCCUGUUAUACAAAUGGAACUGACUUAAACUUUCCUAUAGGUAUUGCUGGGCACCCAGGUGCUCUGCAAAUACCUGAUACAUGUUAUUGCUCACAUUUCCGUAAUUCAUUUCACUCUCAAGGUGGCUUUUUUUUUUUUUUUCCUCUUUUUUUUACUGCCUGUGAAGACCAACAACUGUGUCAGUUGCUCAACCAGUUUUGCUUCCUUGAAAAGCAUCCUGGAACAGCUCUUGAUCCAAUUUCUUCUCGUCAGAAUUCUGAUAGUCAACAUGAGGCUUUACCUCUCUCACUCCUUUAUUUUAGAAGCCGGUAUUCCUUGUCAUUCGGUUUCUCUCUGUAUUAAUAAUCCUUUUUCUCCUGUGUGUGUUACUAUCUCUGUUUCUGCUCUAGGUAUUAACAUUUUACUUAGGAGAACCCCUUUUUCAGCUAUUGAAGCUGGAUAACACAGCUUAUCCAGAUGUAUUACUUACCACACUAGGCUUAUACAUUCUUAAUUUUCUUUAAGAAUGCCGAAGGCCAUCUAGUACUUGCUAUUAAUGUGACAUUUCUUUUAAAAGUUAGAAAAAUUACAUCCAUAUUUUAAACAUGCUUUAAAAAGGAAAAAGACUCCAUGCUUAAUCCUACAUAUUUCAAUAAAAUCUGAGUUCUUUGCUUCGUGCCCUGUGUUUCACUUGAAGGAUUUUUCUUUUCAUGGCUGCACUUGCAGCAGGCAUAUGCAAACUGACAGGUUAGGGGUCAAAUCAGAGCUGCAGCUGAGGCCUAUGCCACAGCAGCAACAUUGGAUCUGAGCCACAUCUGUGAUCUACACUGCAGUUUGUGGCAAUGCUGGAUCCUUAACCCACUGAGCCAGACCAGAGGUCGAACCUGCAUCCUCACAGACGCUAAGUUGGGUUUUUAACACUGAGUCACCAUGGGAACCCCACUUGCAGACUUUUUAAGCAUUUUAAAUAGUUUCCUAGCUAGCCAAGGUUUAUAACAAUAAACCAAAUAUAUUCACACAAUGUGCAUCACCGUUAGUGUUUAUGUUAAUAUAUACACAUCAAGCUCUAGUUCUUAUUGAUAAGAAGGGGACACACACACACACACACACACACACACACACACACACACACACGCUCUCUCUCUCUCAUUCUGUAUGCAUUUAUAUAAAACAAAGGGAAGCACCUUGGUGUUGAAAGACUGUCUUCCCAGAAUUCUUAGUCACACAUCCUGGAAUGAACCAUCAACAGAGAAUUUCCAAAUAGUAAGGACUCUUGGUUGGUGAUUAAACAAUGAAGUCCACAACUCAAACUUGAGGUGUUUUAAUUACUGAACACGUAAAUUCCCUAGUUAACCAGAUUUAUUUGGUUAUUCUGAAUGGCCAAAUUAAUUUGCAACAUACCACAGCUAUUUAUAUCACACAUGGCCCAGAGUUAAGAUUUUCAAAAACCUACUGUCCUACAGAGCCAUACUUCCUUGCUGCAUGAUGCCCGGGGCCUAGCUUUCACAUAUGCCAUAUCUCUGUCAUGCUUUUCACAUGUAUAGUGUGCUUUAUGGAAGUAAGCCAAAACAAAACAAAAAAAAAACAAAAAAAAACCCCACCUCAUUAAAAAUUUUAUUAUAAAAGUGUGCUUUAUUAUAAGGAAAAUUUAAAUAUAACCAACAAUACUGAAAAUAAUGUAACUGGCAUUUACAGUCUUGGUCAGAGUUCUUUAUUAAACAGGCAUUUGUAAUUAACAAUCAGCUUAUGCAACAAAAUAGGUAACUUGAAAAAGUGAAUAAAGUUAAGAAUACAGAAUAAUGAACUAGGAACAUGGGGUUCUUUGAGUUUUUUUCUUGUUUAGCAGACAUGGCUUUUAAAACCUGAAAUAGAAAACAAGUCCUCUUCACCUAGUAGGCUCUCUUCCUACUUCCAGGUAAUGGGAAAGUUUGGAAAAUUGUUGAAGUGUUCUAAAAUGUGGCCCGAAGGUAUACUUUAUAUGCUUCUUAUAUAGACAUUAUCCAUUUUAACAUAUUUUAACCACGUCUUCAUUACACAAGCAAGACCAUAAACAUUCUCUCAUAAGACCACACUAGCCACAGAAUAUUUUUACUCAUGUAGAUAUUUCUUUGAAAAGAUUCCCAAAGUGAAAUUGCUCAUUUAAAAGUGAACAACGGAUUAGAAAUAAUCUCAUUCGACACUGGGGUCAUGUAGGCCUAGAAAUCACAUAAGAGUAUACUGAUUUGGCUGAAUGUCAUUACAUUCAUUUGAUGUAGCAGAAUAAUUAAACAUAUCAAUUGUCAACAAAAACCUAUGCAUUUGGGUUCACUCUGCAUUUCUGAGAGUCUACAUUAGCGCAAAUGGCAAGGCCUAAUAGUGUAUUCGGAAUGGGGAGAAAUUCCAUUUAUCUUUAUUCCAUUUAUCUUUGUUUUGCUUACAAACAUUUAUUUCUCCCACCUUGGAAACCCAUGGGAGUUUGCAUGGGAGUCUGCAAAGGAAUGUAUUAUGUACGCUUAGCGGAGAACCCAGAAAUAUCAUGUAGGCAUGUUGAUAAGGACCCCAAAUAUUUUUGCUAUAGGAGACAUUUUUCUCAUCAUAUGUAAUAAGAUCUUAGGCUUUUAGAAGAUAAGUAAAUUUAAAGAGCAUUUUAAAAUACUGGUCACAUUAAAUGGCAAACUCAAAUUUUUAAAGAUAACGAAUACAGAGAAUGGCAAAA